AUACUCCUGACUGACCGAUAGUGAACCAGUACCGUGAGGGAAAGGCGAAAAGAACCCCGGCGAGGGGAGUGAAAAAGAACCUGAAACCGUGUACGUACAAGCAGUGGGAGCACAGGUUUACCUGUGUGACUGCGUACCUUUUGUAUAAUGGGUCAGCGACUUAUAUUCUGUAGCAAGGUUAACCGAAUAGGGGAGCCGGAGGGAAACCGAGUCUUAAUUGGGCGUUAAGUUGCAGGGUAUAGACCCGAAACCCGGUGAUCUAGCCAUGGGCAGGUUGAAGGUUGGGUAACACUAACUGGAGGACCGAACCGACUAAUGUUGAAAAAUUAG
rnacentral:rRNA from 1 species